GCAUGAGCUGUGCUGCAAGUUGCACUAUAAAACAAUAUACAAAUUUCGAGGGUAGUGCAUAAUGGUCAAACUUUAACACUGGAAAUUGCUAAUAUAAUAAUAACAUCAUGUGAGGUUCGUUUAGUGACCUGAGCCAAAGACACCGAAAGCAGGAAAAAUGAACCAAUCAAUUAUAUUCAAAUCAUCAGAGAACGUAUAACAGAGAGAGCACACUGUAAAUUAUUCAUGCAGUAUCUCUCAGGUAUUGUGGCAACACAAGGGAGAGAACAAGGCUCCCUUCACAUUAAACCCCUUUAUCCCAAACUCACAGCAUCCAAAUAUGCGAUCUUGUGAUGCAGAUUUCAAGUCUUUGUCGAGCAUUUAGCGCUAUGCUGAUUCAAAAAUGCCUCAAGUAG
rnacentral:misc_RNA from 1 species